rnacentral:rRNA from 1 species
UGAGCAACCUGCCCUUCACUUCGGGAUAACCCCGGGGAAACCGGGGCUAAUACCGGAUAUGACCACCCACGGCAUCGUGGGUGGUGGAAAGUUCCGGCGGUGAGGGAUGGGCUCGCGGCCUAUCAGCUUGUUGGUGGGGUAGUGGCCCACCAAGGCGACGACGGGUAGCCGGCCUGAGAGGGUGACCGGCCACACUGGGACUGAGACACGGCCCAGACUCCUACGGGAGGCAG